rnacentral:ncRNA from 2 species
GAAUGCGUUGAAGCGGGAGGUUGCCGUGAGAACGGGUUUUUCCGUGGAGUAUGUCACCAUCUAGAAUGGGGCGGC